AGUGAACGCUGGCGGUAGGCCUAACACAUGCAAGUCGAACGGCAGCACAGUAAGAGCCUGCUCUUACGGGUGGCGAGUGGCGGACGGGUGAGGAAUGCAUCGGAAUCUACUUUUUCGUGGGGGAUAACGUAGGGAAACUUACGCUAAUACCGCAUACGACCUCCGGGUGAAAGCAGGGGAUCUUUGGACCUUGCGCGAUUGAAUGAGCCGAUGUCGGAUUAGCUAGUUGGCGGGGUAAAGGCCCACCAAGGCGACGAUCCGUAGCUGGUCUGAGAGGAUGAUCAGCCACACGGGAGCUUAGACACGGACCAGACUCCUACGGGAGGCAGCAGUGGGGAAUAUUGGACAAUGGGCGCAAGCCUGAUCCAGCCAUACCGCGUGUGUGAAGAAGGCCUGCGGGUUGUAAAGCCCUUUUGUUGGGAAAGAAAAGCAGCAGGUUAAUACCCCGCUGUUCUGACGGUACCCAAAGAAUAAGCACCGGCUAACUUCGUG
rnacentral:rRNA from 1 species